UAGGGCAAAGCAAGUGAUAAAGCAUACAUCGAGAUUAAAAAGUUAUGCUCAAAUUCGAUAUGAACAGAACAUACACAAAAGAAGGUGGAUCGAAGUGAGCCCAAUAGAAUUGAGAUGUUUGCCCUGACACACACAAGAAAAGAUGGGAUGCUUGUUGAUGAUCAUUCUAAGGAGAUUAUGGAUCAAUUUCAGCAAUUACUAUUCCAACCUGAGGGGACAUCUUCUUCUACUUCUGCAUCAUCUGGAGCAUCUACAUCUGUAGCAUCUACAUAUGUAGAUGAGAUAUAUACUCAAGUCAUGGGUCCAGAGAGACAUGGUCGUGUUCGAGGGUAUGGAUUUGGUCCUACUCCUACCUCAAUCUUUGGUUCUACUAUUAGAAGGCGAUCAGGAGUUAUUCUUUCAACACAAAUUGAAAACGCCCAAGAGAUGCUAAUAGCUGCAGAACAAAAGUUUACAACUGCAACUGAAAAACUCUCAAAUGUGAAAGAGGAACUCUCACAUGUGAAAGAAACAUUUGAAGAGAGGUUGAUAGGAGUUCAAAGGAAGACACAAGAAGAAGUAAAAGAAGAGUUUGAAGAAAAAAUGAUGGAAAUGCAAAGAAAAAUGCAAGCACAAAUUCAAUAACAGAUGAUGCAAAUGAUGCAACAAUUUCAGCAAAAUCAGUAGAAAUUUGAAGAUUUUGCUACAUCUUUAUAUGAUAGAUUCUCUUAACUUUUUUGAAGAUU